AUCCAGCUGAAGAGUCUCACAUAGGACGAAACGUUUUUCAUGGUU
rnacentral:hammerhead_ribozyme from 1 species